rnacentral:lncRNA from 10 species
UCCAUCUGUAAGGGUGUACCCUUCUGUAGAAGUACCUUGCCUUGCUGAGAAUUAAAAAGAAAAUUUUAUAUUCGAGUACUAGUUCUUUUGCAGCACCGAAACUUUAUUUAUAACAAUUUGGGGCCUCACCGGUGAUUACAUUAUCCUCCGGGGGCGGUCUCUGGUUCUCUCUUCUGAGGAGACAUGCCCCGCCCCCUUGUGGCGGCCUCGGGGGUGAGAACUCAAGACCCACUCAGUGCGAGGAAUAACCGCAGCUCUCAGCAACGCGCAGGGGAGGGGCUGGGGGGAGGGACUGGCCAGCAACCUAGCUUAAAGGAUCCUCAUAGACUGCAGCGACGAUUCUGUGCACAGACUAAGGAAGGAGAAGCUGCAGGAACCGAUUUCAAACAUUUCAUUGAAGGAGAUCAAGAAAAUUAAUUACUGAUCAAGAGCCCACCUAAACUUGAAAACAAGCUUAUGUUACUAUAGAAGAAUGAGAGAUCACCUGGGCAAAUAUAAGACAUUUUAGAUGAUCCAUAAUAGAAUUACUAACCUCCAGUCUGUCUGCCAGCUCCACAAAGACACAAGAGCAAACCCAGAAAUUCUGAGAACCUUCCUUGAAAUCAUUGAACAGCAAAUGAACAAGCUGUUGCCAACCUGGGGUAGAAGACAGCAGAAUUCCAGCAAGUUUCCUGAAUGGAUUCCCAUUCACUGCUCUUGUUAAGCUGUGGAAUCCAUGUGGCCAGACCUAUGAUUGCUGUUUUUCUUCUCUUUGGCCAGGACUUGGGAGAGCUCUGGUAAGAGACAGGGAAACCUUUCCUUUCCCCUUCCCAGGGACUCAGUAAAUAUGCAGGCACCACAGCCAGGGUAUUCAUUGAUCAGAUGUACAUCCCUCCUCCACAACAGACAAAUUGAUCACUCUGGAUCACCAAGAAGAUCUACGUUGUUUACAUAAUAACAAUAGUGGGGUUUAUUACAGUGUAAUAUUGUAAUGACUUUUUGUCCAGGAAACUUGUGAACAUCCCAUUUUUAUCCACAAACUGUUAUUCUUUCCUGCAAGGUCCCCAAGGGAAGUAUACACACAAUAUAAUUAAAACACAACAAAGAAGCAUUCUACUGUGCGUUUACCAUACACUCUAAAGUGGAAUUUCAAGACACUAAGCGAAAGCAUACUUUAUUUUAAAUGUUAGAUAUGCUGGUAUGUUUUGUACAAUCAAAUACUUAUGAGACCUGUUCUCUCCAUUUGUCCUAGUGAGGCAGGAAAUUAAAGAAAAAUAAAAUUAAAAAGAGAAAUAAGUUUUCCUGUAUUAGGCUAACUUGUCCCAGGCAGCAACAGGCACAGCCCAGACCCAGGAAAAUUCUUGCUAAUAUUAUCUAAUGUGCUCUGGAGGCUCUCCCAGCAUUCCCUCAACAUACGGAGAAGAAAAACCAAAUUUUCCUUUAUUUUAUGGAAUGAGUUUAUAGAUUCCUGUUCUCUGUAACUAGUGACUUCAAGUAUUGUUUUAUCUAAGAAGUACAACGAAGGUCAUGAGAAGCCUGAGUAGGCCUGAACUACAGCUGCCUGGGCACCAUAGUGAAGGUUAUGGGAUAAGCCCGUGCCUAGGCAAACCUAGAUAACGGACAUCUGGGUUGCAUAGCAAUGGUUAUGUGCAAUCCUACGUUAUACACCUGUUACAAUUUGAUUAACUGUCUUUGUCCUGCCUCUGUAUCCCUGCUUUCACACCACUGUAAGCUUGCUUCAAGCUAGCCGACCCCCUUUUCUAAAGUGUAUAUAAAAGUCAAGUGCUGUCUUUGUUCUGGGCCCAGUCUUUGGACGUGAGUCUGCUGGGCCUGAGUGCACUCAAUAAAAGGUUCUCCUGUUUUAACCCGAGACCUCUCUUGUCCUCCUGGAUCCCGCAACAAUAGAGCCAAAAUCUUGGUCGUUGAAUUUUCUCCUUUAAUGGGACAAAGUCUUCAGGGGCCACCACUUCUCA